rnacentral:tmRNA from 1 species
GGGGGCGAAAGGAUUUCGACGGGGAUUUUGAUACGCAAUAAGCGAGCGGUGGCGAGGAACCACCAUAAAAGCCUCAAAGUUUAGAAAUAAACGACAAAAACGAAGUUUUACUUGCUGCCUAAUUAGGCGGCUGUUCCCUCGGGAAGUACUGCGGUCCCGAACGGAGCAUCAAGUAGCAGUAAAUGUGAAUGAGUAACCGCCUUGUAGCUCAUCACACACAACAGGGCUACCAAAAUCAAACGCCUGUCGUUAGGCAUUUGACAGAGGGAAUGUUAAUAUAGCGAAUACGCUCGUAGAAAGUUGCGGGGAGAGAUUUUCGGACGCGGUUUCGAUUACCGCCGCCUCCACCA